rnacentral:misc_RNA from 1 species
UAAUAAGUGUUUUAUGGCACUUUUUAAAUCCAUAUCCACCUUGUGUGCAAUGUCAGUCGAUCUUCUUCAUGGAGAUCGACCAAACAUCAACCUUUAUCUUUUAACUCUUUGUCUGAAAAACAUUAUGAAUAAACAAUUCAAAAUA